GCUGGCGGCAUGCCUAACACAUGCAAGUCGAACGGUAACAGGUCUUCGGAUGCUGACGAGUGGCGCACGGGUGAGUAACGCGUGGAUAUCUGCCUAUUAGUGGGGGACAACUUUCGGAAACGGAAGCUAAUACCGCAUAAUCUCUACGGAGGAAAGCAGGGGACCUUUCGGGGCCUUGUGCUGAUAGAUGAGUCCGCGUCUGAUUAGCUAGUUGGUAGGGUAAAAGCCUACCAAGGCGAUGAUCAGUAGCUGGUUUGAGAGGAUGAUCAGCCACACUGGAACUGAGACACGGUCCAGACUCCUACGGGAGGCAGCAGUGGGGAAUUUUGCACAAUGGGGGAAACCCUGAUGCAGCGAUGCCGCGUGUGGGAAGAAGGCUUUCGAGUUGUAAACCACUUUCAAUUGGGAAGAAGGGAUGAGUGUUAAUAACACUCUGACUUGACGGUACCUUUAGAAGAAGCACCGGCUAAUUUCGUGCCAGCAGCCGCGGUAAUACGAAAGGUGCAAGCGUUGUUCGGAUUUACUGGGCGUAAAGAGAUCGUAGGUGGUUUGAUAAGUUGGAUGUGAAAUCCCGGGGCUCAACCUCGGAACUGCAUCCAAAACUGUCAGACUUGAGUUCGGGAGGGGUAAGCGGAAUUCCGUGUGUAGCAGUGAAAUGCGUAGAUAUACGGAGGAACACCUGAGGCGAAGGCGGGCUUACUGGACCGAUACUGACACUGAGGAUCGAAAGCGUGGGGUAGCAAACAGGAUUAGAUACCCUGGUAGUCCACGCCCUAAACGAUGUCAACUAGCCGUUGCGGGUAUCGACCCCUGCAGUGGCGCAGCUAACGCGAUAAGUUGACCGCCUGGGGAGUACGGUCGCAA
rnacentral:rRNA from 1 species